GUGUAAGAUUCCUGUCUUAUAGAAACAUUAAUUGUGGAGAAGAAACAGGCACCGAGUCCAAAUGUCUGAAAAUGAGAAAAAUGUGAAUUUUCAAGACCUGCUUUAAGAUAGCAUGGACACCACCUUUGUCUUGGUUUGACAAGACAGGAGUCUGUGAAGGAGGGCAAAAGCCUCCUGUGCAAUGGAGAAGUGCAACUGCAAGGUUGCCUACAGAGACCACAGCCAGGUGGUGAGGAAGUGGAUCCUGCAUA